rnacentral:lncRNA from 1 species
UUUAGUAGGGUGCGUGUUUUUAUUAAUAUUGCUUAUGAAAGAUAUCCAGCUAUCUCGAGCUUUUUUAGAAAAUAGUAAUUUAGUUUGACUAGCUACAUUUUGAUAUUGACAAUAGUUUGUAUAGUUUGAGACACGUUUAUACUGGUUCAGGGCUUCUUUUCUGCGACGAAACAUAUCAUAGCAUUCGGUAUCCCACCAUAUUGGACGUUGAGUUACUUGUUGUCUAGCUCUUUUUAGGGGAAUAGUUGCGGAUGCUGCCUCUGAGACCUUACCUUUUCCAUGAAAAUAGAGAAGCUCAGUAGAUUGGAGUUCAGAUUUUGUUUUGUACUAGUUAACGAAUUUUCCAGUAUAGUGGAGUAUGCAGACCAAUCAGCUAAUUUAUCAUUCCAUUUAGAUGCUGGAUUUUUAUUUAUUAUAACUCUAUCCCUAAUAAUUUCAAAUUUGAUUAAGCAAUGAUCUGAACCUAACGCAUCUGGUACGACAUCCCAUACACAACAAUCACUAGCCAAA